GAUUCUAUAGGGUAGCGGUUAGCACAUCUGCUUUACACACAGAAGGUCCUGGGUUCGCGCCCCAGUGAAGCCA
rnacentral:tRNA from 1 species